CCUACGGGCGGCAGCAGUGGGGAAUAUUGCGCAAUGGGCGAAAGCCUGACGCAGCGACGCCGCGUGAGGGAUGCAGGUCUUCGGAUCGUACACCUCUGUCAGCAGGGAAGAACGGUCACUGUGCUAAUCAGCAGUGAAUUGACGGUACCUGCAAAGGAAGCACCGGCUAACUCCGUGACAGCAGCCGCGGUACUACGGAGGGGGCGCGCGUUAAUCGGAAUUACUGGGCGUAAAGCGCUCGUAGGCGGUAUGUCAAGUCAAGGGUGAAAUCCCCGCGCACAACGUGGGAACUGCCUUUGAAACUGGCAAACUGGAGUGUGUGAGAGGAGAGUGGAAUUCCAGGUGUAGGAGUGAAAUCCGUAGAUAUCUGGAGGAACAUCAGUGGCGAAGGCGACUAUCUGGCACAUAACUGACGCUGAGGAGCGAAAGCGUGGGUAGCAAACAGGAUUAGAUACCCGAGUAGUC
rnacentral:rRNA from 1 species